rnacentral:tRNA from 1 species
CCUUAGUUUCUCUUAGCGGCCAAAGGAGUUGAAUUCUAAAUUCAAAGGUUGACGCCUUCAGGAGUUCGAAUCUCAAAAGAGUUA